AUUGCUUCUUGGCCUUUUGGUUUAGAUUAAGUGUAGUAUCUGUCCUUAACAGUUAAAUAUCUGAUAUGUACUCUAUCCAAGGACAUUACAUUAAAUGGAUUUUUGGAACUAGGAGAUGUAGUAAGAGCUUGCUCUGUCCAUUGCACACAUCGACCUGAUAUUUAAGUACUUCCGGAAAUUGUGCACCCCCU